rnacentral:rRNA from 1 species
AGUGAACGCUGGCGGUAGGCCUAACACAUGCAAGUCGAACGGCAGCACAGUAAGAGCUUGCUCUUACGGGUGGCGAGUGUCGGACGGGUGAGGAAUACAUCGGAAUCUACUUUUUCGUGGGGGAUAACGUAGGGAAACUUACGCUAAUACCGCAUACGACCUACGGGUGAAAGCAGGGGAUCUUCGGACCUUGCGCGAUUGAAUGAGCCGAUGUCGGAUUAGCUAGUUGGCGGGGUAAAGGCCCACCAAGGCGACGAUCCGUAGCUGGUCUGAGAUGAUGAUCAGCCACACUGGAACUGAGACACGGUCCAGACUCCUACGGGAGGCAGCAGUGGGGAAUAUUGGACAAUGGGCGCAAGCCUGAUCCAGCCAUACCGCGUGGGUGAAGAAGGCCUUCGGGUUGUAAAGCCCUUUUGUUGGGAAAGAAAAGCAGCAGGUUAAUACCCCGCUGUUCUGACGGUACCCAAAGAAUAAGCACCGGCUAACUUCGUG